rnacentral:rRNA from 1 species
GACGUAGGGCGCGAGCGUUGUCCGGAUUUAUUGGGCGUAAAGAGCGUGUAGGCGGCCAGAUAGGUCGGUUGUGAAAACUGGAGGCUCAACCUCCAGACGUCGACCGAAACCCUCUGGCUAGAGUCCGGAAGAGGAGAAUGGAAUUCCUGGUGUAGCGGUGAAAUGCGCAGAUAUCAGGAAGAACACCCGUGGCGAAGGCGGUUCUCUGGGACGGUACUGACGCUGAGACGCGAAAGCGUGGGGAGCGAACAGG